UACGUAGGGUGCGAGCGUUGUCCGGAAUUAUUGGGCGUAAAGAGCUUGUAGGCGGUUUGUCGCGUCUGCUGUGAAAAUCCGGGGCUCAACCCCGGACUUGCAGUGGAUACGGGCAGGCUAGAGUCAGGUAGGGGAGAACGGAAUUCCUGGUGUAGCGGUGGAAUGCGCAGAUAUCAGGAAGAACACCGGUGGCGAAGGCGGCUCUCUGGGCCUUACCUGACGCUGAGGAGCGAAAGCGUGGGUAGCGAACAGG
rnacentral:rRNA from 1 species